AGUGAACGCUGGCGGUAGGCCUAACACAUGCAAGUCGAACGGCAGCACAGUAAGAGCUUGCUCUUACGGGUGGCGAGUGGCGGACGGGUGAGGAAUACAUCGGAAUCUACUUUUUCGUGGGGGAUAACGUAGGGAAACUUACGCUAAUACCGCAUACGACCUACGGGUGAAAGCAGGGGAUCUUCGGACCUUGCGCGAUUGAAUGAGCCGAUGUCGGAUUAGCUAGUUGGCGGGGUAAAGGCCCACCAAGGCGACGAUCCGUAGCUGGUCUGAGAGGAUGAUCAGCCACACUGGAACUGAGACACGGUCCAGACUCCUACGGGAGGCAGCAGUGGGGAAUAUUGGACAAUGGGCGCAAGCCUGAUCCAGCCUUACCGCGUGGGUGAAGAAGGCCUUCGGGUUGUAAAGCCCUUUUGUUGGGAAAGAAAAGCAGCAGGUUAAUACCCCGCUGUUCUGACGUUACCCAAAGAAUAAGCACCGGCUAACUUCGUG
rnacentral:rRNA from 1 species